rnacentral:ncRNA from 1 species
UGAGCAGGGCAAAGAGACCAACCCUGGCCGAACUUGAAACAAUCUUAGUAGCCAGAGGAAAAGAAAGCAAAACCGAUUCCCGUAGUAGCGGCGAGCGAAAUGGGAGCAGCCUAAACCGUGAAAACGGGGUUGUGGGAGAGCAAUACAAGCGUUGUGCUGCUAGGCGAAGCGGUUGAGUGCCGCACCCUAGAUGGCUAAAGUCCAGUAGCCGAAAGCAUCAC